AGAGUUUGAUCCUGGCUCAGAAUGAACGCUGGCGGCGUGCCUAACACAUGCAAGUCGAGCGAGAUUUAGUGUAGUGGAGACUUCGGUCAAAGUGAAACUAAUGAAAGCGGCGGACGGGUGAGUAACGCGUGGGCAACCUGCCCCAUACAAAGGGAUAGCCACUGGAAACGGUGAUUAAUACCUUAUAAGUCGGUAGUCUCGCAUGAGACAGCCGACAAAGAUUUAUCGGUAUGGGAUGGGCCCGCGUUUGAUCAGCUUGUUGGUGAGGUAAUGGCUUACCAAGGCGACGACGGGUAGCCGGCCUGAGAGGGUGACCGGCCACACUGGGACUGAGACACGGCCCAGACUCCUACGGGAGGCAGCAGUGGGGAAUAUUGCACAAUGGGCGCAAGCCUGAUGCAGCGACGCCGCGUGAGGGAUGACGGCCUUCGGGUUGUAAACCUCUUUCAGUAGGGAAGAAGCGAAAGUGACGGUACCUGCAGAAGAAGCGCCGGCUAACUACGUGCCAGCAGCCGCGGUAAUACGUAGGGCGCAAGCGUUAUCCGGAAUUAUUGGGCGUAAAGAGCUCGUAGGCGGUUUGUCGCGUCUGCCGUGAAAGUCCGGGGCUCAACUCCGGAUCUGCGGUGGGUACGGGCAGACUAGAGUGAUGUAGGGGAGACUGGAAUUCCUGGUGUAGCGGUGAAAUGCGCAGAUAUCAGGAGGAACACCGAUGGCGAAGGCAGGUCUCUGGGCAUUAACUGACGCUGAGGAGCGAAAGCAUGGGGAGCGAACAGGAUUAGAUACCCUGGUAGUCC
rnacentral:rRNA from 1 species